rnacentral:rRNA from 1 species
GGGCCCGCACAAGCGGUGGAGCAUGUGGUUUAAUUCGACGCAACGCGAAGAACCUUACCUGGGCUCGAAAUGUAGUGGAAUCCGGCAGAAACGUCGGCGUCUAGCAAUAGACCGCUAUAUAGGUGCUGCAUGGCUGUCGUCAGCUCGUGUCGUGAGAUGUUGGGUUAAGUCCCGCAACGAGCGCAACCCUUAUCUUCAGUUGCUACCAUUUAGUUGAGCACUCUGACGAAACCGCCUCGGAUAACGGGGAGGAAGGUGGGGAUGACGUCAAGUCCUCAUGGCCUUUAUGUCCAGGGCUACACACGUGCUACAAUGGCCGGUACAAACCGCUGCAAACCCGCGAGGGGGAGCUAAUCGGAAAAAGCCGGCCUCAGUUCGGAUUGGAGUCUGCAACUCGACUCCAUGAAGCUGGAAUCGCUAGUAAUCGUGGAUCAGCAUGCCACGGUGAAUACGUUCCCGGGCCUU